rnacentral:rRNA from 1 species
UUUUGGACAAUGGGGGAAACCCUGAUCCAGCCAUCCCGCGUGUGCGAUGAAGGCCUUCGGGUUGUAAAGCACUUUUGGCAGGGAAGAAAAGGCUCUGGCUAAUACCUGGAGCUGCUGACGGUACCUGCAGAAUAAGAACCGGCUAACGAUGUUCAAUCAGCCGCGGUAAUACGUAGGGUGCAAGCGUUAAUCGGAAUUACUGGGCGUAAAGCGGGGGCAGGCGGUUCGGCAAGAAGGAUGUGAAAUCCCAGGGCUUAACCUUGGAACUGCAUUCUUAACUGCCGGGCUAGAGUAUGUCAGAGGGGGGUAGAAUUCCGCGUGUAGCAGUGAAAUGCGUAGAGAUGCGGAGGAAUACCGAUGGCGAAGGCAGCCCCCUGGGAUAAUACUGACGCUCAUGCACGAAAGCGUGGGGAGCAAAC